rnacentral:rRNA from 1 species
ACGAGAAUAUUCCGCAAUGGACGAAAGUCUGACGGAGCGACGCCGCGUGAUUGAUGAAGUGCUUCGGUACGUAAAGAUCUUUUAUCGGGGACGAAGUUUAUUGACGGUACCCGAUGAAUAAGGGGCUCCUAACUCUGUGCCAGCAGGAGCGGUAAUACAGAGGCCCCAAGCAUUACCCGGAAUCACUGGGCGUAAAGGGUGUCUAGGCGGCCAUAUUAGUCUCUCGUUAAAUCUGUGGGCUCAAACCUGCAGCCGGCGAGGGAAACGGUAUGGCUCGAGGGCGUGAGAGGUGCACGGAACUCAUGGUGGAGGGGUGAAAUCCGUUGAUAUCAUGGGGAACACCAAAGGCGAAGGCAGUGCACUGGUACGUUCCUGACGCUCAAACACGAAAGCCAGGGUAGCGAAGAGGAUUAGAUACCCCUGUAGUCCCUG